rnacentral:rRNA from 1 species
UACAGAGGGUGCAAGCGUUAAUCGGAAUUACUGGGCGUAAAGCGUGCGUAGACGGUUAUUUAAGUCAGGUGUGAAAGCCCCGGGCUCAACCUGGGAAUUGCAUUUGAGACUGAAUAGCUAGGGUGCGGAAGAGGGAAGCGGAAUUUCCGGUGUAGCGGUGAAAUGCGUAGAUAUCGGAAGGAACACCAGUGGCGAAAGCGGCUUCCUGGUCCAGCACCGACGUUCAGGCACGAAAGCGUGGGGAGCGAUCCGG